rnacentral:rRNA from 1 species
UACGAAGGGGGCUAGCGUUGCUCGGAAUCACUGGGCGUAAAGGGUGCGUAGGCGGGUUUUAAGUCAGAGGUGAAAUCCUGGAGCUCAACUCCAGAAUUGCCUUCGAUACUGCAUGGCUUGAGACCGGAAGAGGUAAGUGGAACUGCGAGUGUAGAGGUGAAAUUCGUAGAUAUUCGCAAGAACACCAGUGGCGAAGGCGGCUUACUGGUCCGGUUCUGACGCUGAGGCGCGAAAGCGUGGGGAGCAAACAGG